rnacentral:lncRNA from 10 species
GUUGAUUACAAUGAUUCAUUCCUCUCCUGUGUCCUGGGGGUUGAUGAACUCAGCUGGGUGGUUCUUGCUUAUUGGGGUACCUCAUGUGGUUGCAGUCAGAUAGUUGCUGAUGCGGAGACAUCUGAAGCUUCUAUUCCUUGUAUGUCCAGCUUUGAGGCUGGAACACCUGCAGGCUGUUGGAUCUUUCUCUCUCCAAUGGUCUCAAUGUGUGGCUAGCUUGGUCUUGUGCACAGCAUGGGGGUGUCUCAUGUUGUGAAGAAGUGGAAGUAGUAGUCCGUUUUCUCAUAUGGCAGCUUGUUUCCCUCCUGAGGAAAUGCUAUAAGAGACCAAGGUAGGAUCCUGAUUGUUACACGAACUGUCCACCUCCAUCCAGAGCCGUGUGGCUUGUAGUGCCUUCUCGUGGCAGGUAUAUUUUCCUGCCUGUUCACGUGACUUGUGUUGGCCAGUGGAAUAUAGUUUGAUCUGCAGUAGUUUGAAUCUGAGGAUGCUGAACCUGUGGAUAAGGAGAGCCUACUUUUCUUGGACAAAUGCCCUGUGUCAGAAGAGUGUGGUAAACAGAAGCUCAGCUCCUUCAAGGAUGACAGCCUUGGUUACACCACCAGGAAAAGAGACCAAAGUCAGGGAGCAGUCGUUUUCACAUGGGAUGAACUCAGUGUAAGAGGCAAGCAGAUUGUGGAAGAUUAGAAGAUAAUGGAUACUAUUAUUCCAUCCAGAUUCCUCUUCAGGACCAAGGACUCAUUUUCCAGCUGGCAGGAAUGUUAGCUACUGACGGCCAUGGCUGAGUUCCUCUUCAGGAAUUAUCCUCCACUUGAGGGGAAUUGCUUUGUUCAGUGUUACACUCCCUCUAUAGUGGCAGCCCACACUGGUUGAUGUGGGGUACAAAGUCCUGGACCUUGUCUUAGAUGGGAUAGUUCUGAAGGGCUAUUCCAGCUCCAGAACUCCUCAUAGGAUUGGCUGAGGUCUCCUCUGCAACUGGAUCACAGUUCAACUUUUUCUUCUGCCCAGUCCUUCUUCUCUCAUCUGUUGCCAGUUUUAUUCGUGUGAGCAUUCGGAUCACCAACGCUGUGACCUCGCUGUGUGAACGGGAGCUACUACAGGAAGGAAGCUUACAAAUGAGCUGCAUGGAUCCCACAUUUUGCUAAAAUCAAAUAGGACCUUUCUCCUCUUUGUUGAAUGCCGUAAUACACAAGAAAUAAGCCAGCAGGAUGCUCAUGUCCAAGGUUUCCCUUUAUCUACCACACGAGUUGGCAUGAAACAACUUCUGGGGUUCAAAUCUUCUGAACAAUGAUACAAGUCUUGGCAAAUUUCAAGAAUAAUUUAAAGAGGAAAUAAAUAGCUUUUUGUUUAACUUGGAUCAAUUAUCUCCUAUUGCUCCCAGCUUCAUGCCAGGUACUCUCCACUGUGCCUGGGAAAUAUGAAUCCCUGCCCUCAUGAAAAAACAUUGGCCAUGAGGAUUUUCCCUACAACCCAAGAACUAUUUGAAGUUUGAAGUCUUUCAGCCCAGACAACACUGGCUAUUUUCACCUUUGCCUUCAACUAUAAAGGCUGGGCUCUCUCUGCAGGAGUGGGUAAGUACAGCCCGUGGUGGAGAAGAGAGAAAAAGUCUUUCAGUGCAGUACAGGCUCUAUCACAAUAGAUGGGCCUUAUUAGCCAUUCUCAGCCUCAUAGAUAAUGUAGUCGUGGAUGGCAUGGUUUGAUCUAGUGAAGAAUUGCCCAGGAGAUUGUGUUGACAUCUGAGAUUUAUUUUAAUCCUUUUUUGCAGAUUUUGUAACGAGCAUUGUAACAAAGUACGCCAAAG